AUGAAUCCUAUUGACACUCAUGAUAAAAAUGAAACUAACUAAUAUGAUUCAUCUUUAUUUUGAUAAAAUCAUGAACUUUUAUGAUGUUUACAGUGCCAUCUUCAAGGACACAACCAAACUAAAUAAUAUCUUGCACAUUUUGACCACUAUAGUGAUAUCUAUUAAUAAUUGCAAAAAAUGCAGAAACUUUCUAGAUAACCCAAUAAUAAAUGUUCCCAGAUCAGGGAUCCUUGGAAUCAUUGGAAAUAAAAAAAAUAAAAAAUUUGGAAAACAUCCUGAAUAAUAGGGAUUCAAAAGAAAUACCAACUCCAUGGCUAUGUGCAAUCAGGAUGACACACAGAUAAUCAGAAAGUAUUGUAGUGCACAACAUGUUGGUGUCAUACUAUAUGUUUAAUUAUAUUUAUGCCUUACCAUAGCAUGUGCACUGCAAGAACCACGCUGAACAAAGACUAUUGACAUUCAGCCUAUUUUAUUUAUUUAUAUUUUGUUUUAAUUUUAUUUUAUCAUAUUAUAUUAUGUAUUAUUUCUAAUGUAGUACUAUUAUGCUGUUAUAUACUUAUAUAUUAGUUCUUGCUUAUUAGACUUUAUGUAUUAACAACCCAACUAUAGAUGUUCGAUUAUGU
rnacentral:lncRNA from 1 species